rnacentral:rRNA from 1 species
UACAGCGGGUGCAAGCGUUAAUCGGAAUUACUGGGCGUACAGCGUGCGUAGGUGGUUUACUACGUCAGGUGUGAAAGCCCCGGGCUUAACCUGGGAACUGCGUUGGAAACUGAAAGACUAGAGUGCGGCAGAGGGGGGUAGAAUUCCACGUGUAGCAGUGAAAUGCGUAGAUAUGUGGAGGAAUACCGAUGGCGAAGGCAGCCCCCUGGGUCGACACUGACGCUCAUGCACGAAAGCGUGGGUAGCAAACAGG